rnacentral:rRNA from 1 species
GCUUCAUCCGGACUGGACUGUUUUGGGAUGGCCAAGACUUCGUUUCAGUUCCCUUUUAACAGCCAUUGUUCCCGUUUGAGCCCAGUCAUAAGGGGAUGCUGAUUUGACGUGAUCCUCACCUUCCUCCAAUUUAUCAUUGGCAGUCUCGUUAAAGUCCCCACCAUAACGUGCUGGCAACUAACGAUAAGGGUUUCGCUCGUUUUAGGACUUAACCUAACAUCUCACGACACGAGCUGACGACAACCAUGCACCACCUGUGUUUCUGGUAACCUCCACGAUAUUACUAUCAUUUUGCAAAAACAUGUCAAGACCUGGUAAGGUUUUUCGGGUAUCUUCGAAUUAAACAACAUGAUCCACCGCUUGUGCGGAGUCCCGUCAAUUCCUUUAAGUUUCAUAACUUGCGUACGUACUACUCAGGCGGAGUACUUAAUGUGUUAACUUCAGUACCGGUUUAACCCGACACUUAGUACUCAUCGUUUACGGCGUGGACUACCAGGGUAUCUAAUCCUGUUUGCUCCCCACGCUUUCGUGCCUCAGCGUCAGUUAAGACCCAGCGAGCCGCCUACGCCUCUGGUGUUCCUCCAUAUAUUUACGCAUUUUACCGCUACACAUGGAAUUCCACUCGCCUCUAUCUAACUCAAGUUUAGCAGUUUCAAUAGCCGGACAACGUUAAGCGUUGCCAUUACACCACUGACUUACUAGACCGCCUACGCACCCUUUACGCCCAAUAAUUCCGGAUAACACUUGCCCCUUAUGUCUUACCGCGGCUGCUGGCACAUAAUUAGCCGGGGCUUAUUCAUCAAGUACCGGCAAACAAAUGGUUCGCCAUUUGCUUUUCUUCCUUGAUAAAAGAACUUUACAUACCGAAGUACUUCGUCAUUCACGCGGCGUUGCUCGGUCAGAGUUUCCUCCAUUGCCGAAAAUUCCCUACUGCUGCCUCCCGUAGGAGUUUGGGCCGUGUCUCAGUCCCAAUGUGGCUGUUCAACCUCUCAGUCCAGCUC